ACCUAACUGGCUCCAUUGGUAGAGCGUGCGACUCUUGAUCUCAGGGUUGUGGGUUCGAGCCCCACAUUGGGUG